AGUGAUGGUACAGAACGGCAUAGGCAAAGAUGCAGUAGAUGGUAUAGAGUACAGUAUAUACAUAUGAGAUGAGUAAUGUAGGGUAUGUAAACAUAUAAAUGGCAUUAGACCAGUAUGAACUUUACCCUGGUUUAAGGUGGAAUCACUCCAAGGCCAUUAUGAACUUUACCCUGGUUUAAGGUGGAAUCACUCCAACAGCAGUAUGAACUUUAGCCUGGUUUAAGGUGGAAUCACUCCAAGGCCAUUAUGAACUUUACCCUGGUUUAAGGUGGAAUCACUCCAACAGCAGUAUGAACUUUAGCCUGGUUUAAGGUGGAAUCACUCCAAGGCCAUUAUGAACUUUAGCCUGGUUUAAGGUGGAAUCACUCCAAUGCCAUUAUGAACUUUACCCUGGUUUAAGGUGGAAUCACUCCAAGGCCAUUAUGAACUUUACCCUGGUUUAAGGUGGAAUCACUCCAAGGCCAUUAUGAACUUUACCCUGGUUUAAGGUGGAAUCACUCCAAGGCCAUUAUGAACUUUACCCUGGUUUCAUGUGAAUCACUCCAACUAUACCACAAUGCAGCAUGUUUUAGUGAGACAGCCAAUGCUAAUUCUCUUGCUCUGAGUUCCAAAUAGCUCCCUAUUCCCUAAAGAAUAUAUUUUGAUUCAACACU